CAAAGUCCAAAACCAUUGCUAAGAAGGUAUACUGUUUGUCAUUGACAAUUUUUUACCAUAGCUUUCACUUCUUUUAAUGCAGGCUAUGUAUAAAUAGUUCAUAGUUCUCCUGCAAACUAUAAAAUUCAAAUGAAACAUCGAGUUAAUGUUUGACUUCGGUAACCAACUAAUAAUUGACCAGCAACAAAGAUUUAGACUGCAGUAAUGUAGAACCAGUGCCUGCAAAUUGCCCAAAUCUUGAUCGGAGCAGCAUUGUUUUUGCUGGUUCCAGUAAAAAUCCUGGACUGCACUGGGGCACUUGGAACCACCAAGUAAGAGCCUGGUUUCCUGGUGGAUUCUGGCAAUGUGUUUUUUAAUUUUAUUUUCUCAAUUCACAUUGCUAGCUUGAUACUGAAAUAGUUCUAGAUCAUUAACUUCUUCAAAUUACUAGCAACUAUAACAUCCCUGCUAUUUGCUGCUGGGAUUUGGAACCCUGGGUCAAGGUGAAGCUAACACUAGUCAACAGUCUUUAUUGAAAUCAUGUUAGUGUGUAUUCGUGAUUGAUGUAUGGCACUCUUUUCAGGUGUUGCUGGAGCAGCUGACAUCCUCUCCCUGGAACAAUAUGUUGUUCCUGUUCUACUAUGGAUAUGUUGUUGAGAGGUAGUCUGUAACUGUCAAAUUAGUGUAGUUUGUGGAAGGCCUUUGAAGGAGGAAGAAUAGGGUGAAGAAACAAUAUCCUUCAGUGCAAUUGAGUGCUUGGAUGUUUUGGCCAAUAGUUGGCUGGAUAAACCAUCAGUACAUGCCCUUGCAGUUUCGAGUGAUCUUCCACGGCUUGGUUGCAUGUUGUUGGGGGAUAUUUCUCAACCUUCGCGCAAGGGCUAUGUCUUUGAAGCAGGCGUAGACAAUUUAGAUGGAAAAAAUUGCAGCGCAGCUCCAACCUGGUUCUAACUGAUCAAAGAACAUGGGUGGUGAGCGCUAUGUGCUGUACUGUUUGGCAACAAAUCGUUGUUCAAGUCAUUCAAGUAGUUGAGGAUUUCAGUUAUUUAUCGGGUAGUAGUAGGUUUAUUUGAUCAAAGAACAUGGAUGCUUUGUGAAUUGUGAUGGAACCGGAAGUAUAUCAGCUGUGACGAAUUUGCCUACCUUUGAGCCAGUUGAUGCAGCAAAGGUGGUUUCUUUUUCA